rnacentral:tRNA from 1 species
GAAGUGGUAGUUUAAUUGGAAAAACGCUUGACUUUCACUCAAGAGGUUGUGAGUUCAAAUCUCACCCCUUCCA